CUUAUUGUUUCUACUGAUGAGAUCCUGCUGUUUCUUUUAUCAGAUUCGAAUGCAGAUCCAAAUUAUGUAAUAGGAACCCAGAUUCCUAAGUACCUGUAUGAUGGAGGAAGCAGCAGCAAGCACCAUACUGGUGACUGCAUGAGUGAGGUUCUUGAUCAAGUGAGAUAUGACUACAUGACAAACCCCAAUGCCCAAGGAGAGGAUGUA